GUCCACGCGGUAAACGAUGAGCGCUAGACGUUGGACAGGUGACUGUUAGGUGUCGAAGCUAACGCGCUAAGCGCUCCGCCUGGGGAGUACGGCCGCAAGGUUGAAACUCAAAGGAAUUGACGGGGGCCCCGCACAAGCGGUGGAGCAUGUGGUUUAAUUCGAUGCAACGCGAAGAACCUUACCUGGUCUUGACAUCCAGAGAACCUUCAGAAAUGAAGGGUGCCGCGAGGAGCUCUGAGACAGGUGCUGCAUGGCUGUCGU
rnacentral:rRNA from 1 species